rnacentral:lncRNA from 1 species
CCUCAAGCUCCCAUGGGGUUCAGCCAAUGAAGAUAAGAAGAAAGAGAGAUUGAGGUCAUCCAGUGAUACUGAUGAAAUAUUCCACCGGAGGGAGAAUUAAAUCCCUGUCUAGCCUCCUUGCCCGCAGGAAGUUGACGGAAGAGGGAUUGACCUGAAGGAUCAAGGGGUAUGCAGUCCAAGUGGGAAUGUAACAUGCAUGAGGUGGAGGGACUGAACCUCAGUCAGAUGGAGUGAAUGCUUCAGGUCACACAGCGAAAGAGUCCUGGGUGAAAACCCAGUGCUACCAGAAUGCAGUCUUUUCUCUCCACCACACUGUACCUCCCACAGCCCUCUUUGUUUUAGAGCAAGGCCAUUUCAGGGAAGCCUUGCCAUACCCGAUCUCCACAGGCAGCUCUCACCAACUGUGCUUCAAGUGCAUGGUCAUUCCAGAGCCUGGACGGAACGGGCACUCCUGGUGCUAUGGCCUCACUGCCUACAAAGCUAAGUGCACAGGUAGGGACAGGGUGCUUCCUUCGCUCCUGUGGUGAUCUGGAGACACAGAUCAACCCAGUGUGAAUGGAACCAGGCAGAGCUGCCCACCAAAAUAAAAGUGUGGCCAAAACCCAGCCCUGCUUGUGGGUGAACAAAAAACAUGCCCUCCAGCCACAACUGCAUUCACAGAGCUUCCGGGGAUGGCUCUUACCUGGGGCUGCUCCAUAUGGAAACAUAAUCCAUAGCUUGGCUCCCACAAAUAUGCUUAUCCCACGUGCUACAUAUGGAAGGAGAAAUCAGCUUGUAUUUCAUUAAACAGUUUGGCUCAGGUCUUGUGAGCAAAUAUUAGAAUCUGCACUUGGUACAGAGUCGUAAAUGCAUUGUUAGCA